rnacentral:rRNA from 1 species
AACGAACGCUGGCGGCAUGCCUAACACAUGCAAGUCGAACGAGACCUUCGGGUCUAGUGUCGCACGGGUGCGUAACGCGUGGGAACCUUCCCUUAGGUUCGGAAUAACUCCCCGAAAGGGGUGCUAAUACCGGAUAAUGUCUUCGGACCAAAGAUUUAUUGCCUUUGGUUGUGCCCGCGUUGGAUUAGCUAGUUGGUAGGGUAAUAGCCUACCAAGGCGACGAUCCAUAGCUGGUAUGAGAGGAUGAUCAGCCACACUGGGACUGAGACACGGCCCAGAAUCCUACGGGAGGCAGCAGUGGGGAAUAUUGGACAAUGGGCGAAAGCCUGAUCCAGCAAUGCCGCGUGAGUGAUGAAGGUAUUAGGGUUGUAAAGCUCUUUUACCCGGGAUGAUAAUGACAGUACCGGGAGAAUAAGCUCCGGCUAACUCCGUG